rnacentral:rRNA from 1 species
UACGAAGGGGGCUAGCGUUGCUCGGAAUCACUGGGCGUAAAGCGCACGUAGGCGGACUUUUAAGUCAGGGGUGAAAUCCCGGGGCUCAACCCCGGAACUGCCUUUGAUACUGGAAGUCUUGAGUUCGAGAGAGGUGAGUGGAAUUGCGAGUGUAGAGGUGAAAUUCGUAGAUAUUCGCAGGAACACCAGUGGCGAAGGCGGCUCACUGGCUCGAUACUGACGCUGAGGUGCGAAAGCGUGGGGAGCAAACAGG